AUACUUACCUGGGCAGGGGAGAUACCAUGCAAGAAUGUGGGUUUUCACCCAGGGACGAGGCUUAACAUUUGCACUACGGUAUGCGUACUCCUGGCGAAUUCCCCAAUGGGAAUCCGACUGCAUAAUUUGUGGUAGUGGGGGACGAGUUCGCGCUCCCCCU